GUCCCGGCGGUAAACGAUGGGCACUAGGUGUCGGAGGUAUCGACCCCUCCGGUGCCGCAGUUAACACAUUAAGUGCCCCGCCUGGGGAGUACGACCGCAAGGUUGAAACUCAAAGGAAUUGACGGGGGCCCGCACAAGCGGUGGAGUAUGUGGUUUAAUUCGACGCAACGCGAAGAACCUUACCUGGGCUUGACAUGUAACGGACAUGGUUAGAGAUAAUCACUCGUCUUCGGACGUCGUUGCACAGGUGCUGCAUGGCUGUCGU
rnacentral:rRNA from 1 species